AAAUGUGCAGAUGAUCUGGUUAGAUAGGCAGGGUCCCCCAUCCUCCAUCACUCCCCCCAAGCUGUCCUCUCAGUUGAAGAGAAUGACUGUCACUGAAUACAGGAAGACUAGUCUUCAGUCAAGGGUAUACAAGUAGCUGUGGUCCCCUGCUAGAACCUCCAAACAAGCUCUCAAAACCAAAAACUAAAAACCCAGAUCUGAUUCACAAUUUUUCAAGGAUUCUCCAAGUGCAUGAUUUUG
ensembl:misc_RNA predicted gene, 22967